UACAGAGGGGCAAGCGUUGUUCGGAAUUACUGGGCGUAAAGGGCGCGUAGGCGGCCUCUUAAGUCGAACGUGAAAUCCCCGGGCUCAACCCGGGAACUGCGUCCGAUACUGGAAGGCUUGAAUCCGGGAGAGGGAUGCGGAAUUCCAGGUGUAGCGGUGAAAUGCGUAGAUAUCUGGAGGAACACCGGUGGCGAAGGCGGCAUCCUGGACCGAGAUUGACGCUGAGGCGCGAAAGCCAGGGGAGCA
rnacentral:rRNA from 1 species